rnacentral:rRNA from 1 species
AUUGAACGCUGGCGGCAGGCCUAACACAUGCAAGUCGAGCGGACGAAGGGAGCUCGCUCCUGGAUUCAGCGGCGGACGGGCGAGUAAUGCCUAGGAAUCUGCCUGGUCGUGAGGGAUAACGUCCGUAAACGGGCGCUAAUAUCGCAUCCGUCCUGAGGGUGAAAGUGGGGGAUCUUCGGACCUCACGCUAUCUGAUGAGCCUAGGUCGUAUUAGCUGGUUGGUGGGGUAAAGGCCUACCAAGGCGACGAUCCGUAACUGGUCUGAGAGGAUGUUCAGUCACACUGGAACUGAGACACGGUCCGAACUCCUACGGGAGGCAGCGGAGGGAAAUAUUGGAAAUGGGGCGAAAGCCUGAUCCAGCCAGGCCGGGGGUGUAUAGAGGGUCUUCGAAUUGUAAAGCAUUUUAAGUUGGAAGAAAGAGCAGUAAAGUAAUACCGUGCUUUUUGAACGUUACCAACAAGAUAGGCACCGGCUAACUUCGU